UACGUAUGGUGCAAGCGUUAUCCGGAUUUACUGGGUGUAAAGGGAGCGUAGACGGAUAGGCAAGUCUGGAGUGAAAACCCGGGGCUCAACCCCGGGACUGCUUUGGAAACUGUUUAUCUAGAGUGCUGGAGAGGUAAGUGGAAUUCCUAGUGUAGCGGUGAAAUGCGUAGAUAUUAGGAGGAACACCAGUGGCGAAGGCGGCUUACUGGACAGUAACUGACGCUGAGGCGCGAAAGCGUGGGGAGCAAACAGG
rnacentral:rRNA from 1 species